AAUCUAAAAAAUAGAUGACAUUGUAUUCAUAAUCUUUUAUUCGAAGAAUACAAUAGAAUACAAGGUGAUUUUCGUAGAAUGGCUCCAAAAAUCUUCUUGUGCAUUCUUUUUGUAGCUGUGCUAUUGGCUUCAGAAGCAACAAGUGGCACAAUAAUGGUUGAAGGCGAAAGGAAGGUGUGCGCCAAGAGUAAAGGAAAAUGUCCAGAUAACAAUGCCGCUUGCUUUGAAGACUGUGUAGAAAGGAAUUACGUCGAUGGCCAUUGUGAGGGCUUCAAUUGUUGCUGUUUCAGUCAUGACUAGAGAUUAGUGUUUAAGAUUUUUAUUAUUAUAAUAAUAUCCCUAUUAAUAAUAAGGUGAGUUUUAUGGUGUCUUUUA